GUGCUCGCUUUAGCAGCACAUAUACUAAAACUGGAAUGAUACAGAGAAGAUGAGCGCGGCCCUUGAGCAAGGAUGGAGCGCUCCAUAAAAAAAGACAAGUGUGGUAUU
ensembl:snRNA U6 U6 spliceosomal RNA